AAGGUGGCGUCCUCUCUGUCCACACUGCCGCUUGUGUUACGCCGGUCCUUAGGCGAGGGCCGCAGCGUACAGUGAAAACAGAAGGCAUAGAAAAAGGUCACCAGCAGCAGGAUGCACACCAUGCAGAAGAUGAUGAGACAAACAUAUUUAUACUUACAACUUCUUGUUAUGUUGUAAGAUGAAGAGGUGACGUUUCCACAUGAACUCAGAACAGUACAGGUGACAUUUACAUCAGUGACACAGCCGAUUACAGAGGAGAGGUUCGUCACCUGUGCAGUGAUGUUACCUGGAUCAACAAAAUG
ensembl:lncRNA